rnacentral:rRNA from 1 species
UGGGGAAUAUUGGACAAUGGGCGCAAGCCUGAUCCAGCAAUGCCGCGUGUGUGAAGAAGGCCUGCGGGUUGUAAAGCACUUUAAGCGGGAAAGAAGGCUUCAAGGUUAAUACCCUUGGAGAUUGACGUUACCCGCAGAAUAAGCACCGGCUAACUCCGUGCCAGCAGCCGCGGUAAUACGGAGGGUGCGAGCGUUAAUCGGAAUUACUGGGCGUAAAGCGCGCGUAGGCGGUCGAUUAAGUCAGCCGUGAAAGCCCUGGGCUUAACCUGGGAACUGCGGUUGAUACUGGUUGGCUAGAGUGUGGCAGAGGGUGGCGGAAUUUCCGGUGUAGCAGUGAAAUGCGUAGAGAUCGGAAGGAACACCAGUGGCGAAGGCGGCCAUCUGGGCUAACACUGACGCUGAGGUGCGAAAGCGUGGGGAGCAAACA